rnacentral:rRNA from 1 species
CUACUAGCCUACGACGGGUACGGGUUGUGAGAGCAAGAGCCCGGAGAUGGAUUCUGAGACACGAAUCCAGGCCCUACGGGGUGCAGCAGGCGCGAAAACUUUACAAUGCCGGCAACGGCGAUAAGGGGACCUCGAGUGCCAGGUUACAAAUCUGGCUGUCGUGAUGCCUAAAAAGCAUUGCAUAGCAAGGGCCGGGCAAGACCGGUGCCAGCCGCCGCGGUAACACCGGCGGCUCGAGUGGUAACCGUUAUUAUUGGGUCUAAAGGGUCUGUAGCCGGCCGGAUAAGUCUCUUGAGAAAUCCAGCAGCUCAACUGUUGGGCUUUCAGGAGAUACUGUUCGGCUCGAGGCCGGGAGAGGUGAGAGGUACUUCAGGGGUAGGGGUGAAAUCUUGUAAUCCUUGAAGGACCACCAGUGGCGAAGGCGUCUCACCAGAACGGACCUGACGGCAAGGGACGAAAGCUAGGGGCACGAACCGGAUUAGAUACCCGGGUAGUCCUAGCCGUAAACGAUACUCGCUAGGUGUCGGCCACGGUGCGACCGUUGUCGGUGCCGUAGGGAAGCCGUGAAGCGAGC